rnacentral:pre_miRNA from 1 species
CAACUACUCCCUCUGUCCCAAAUUUCUUGUCUUAGAUUUUUCUAGAUACAGAUGUAUCUAAUACUAAAAUGUGACUUGAUACAUCCGUAUCUAGACAAAUCUAAGACAAGAAUUUUGGGAUGGAGGGAGUACUUU